rnacentral:rRNA from 1 species
AGUGAACGCUGGCGGUAGGCCUAACACAUGCAAGUCGAACGGCAGCACAAUAAGAGCUUGCUCUUACGGGUGGCGAGUGGCGGACGGGUGAGGAAUACAUCGGAAUCUACUUUUUCGUGGGGGAUAACGUAGGGAAACUUACGCUAAUACCGCAUACGACCUACGGGUGAAAGCAGGGGAUCUUCGGACCUUGCGCGAUUGAAUGAGCCGAUGUCGGAUUAGCUAGUUGGCGGGGUAAAGGCCCACCAAGGCGACGAUCCGUAGCUGGUCUGAGAGGAUGAUCAGCCACACUGGAACUGAGACACGGUCCAGACUCCUACGGGAGGCAGCAGUGGGGAAUAUUGGACAAUGGGCGCAAGCCUGAUCCAGCCAUACCGCGUGGGUGAAGAAGGCCUUCGGGUUGUAAAGCCCUUUUGUUGGGAAAGAAAAGCAGCAGGUUAAUACCCCGCUGCUCUGACGGUACCCAAAGAAUAAGCACCGGCUAACUUCGUG